CCUACGGGAGGCUGCAGUGGGGAAUAUUGCACAAUGGGCGCAAGCCUGAUGCAGCCAUGCCGCGUGUGUGAAGAAGGCCUUCGGGUUGUAAAGCACUUUCAGCGGGGAGGAAGGUGGUGAGGUUAAUAACCUCAUCGAUUGACGUUACCCGCAGAAGAAGCACCGGCUAACUCCGUGCCAGCAGCCGCGGUAAUACGGAGGGUGCAAGCGUUAAUCGGAAUUACUGGGCGUAAAGCGCACGCAGGCGGUCUGUCAGGUCGGAUGUGAAAUCCCCGGGCUCAACCUGGGAACUGCAUUCGAAACGGGCAGGCUAGAGUCUUGUAGAGGGGGGUAGAAUUCCAGGUGUGGCGGUGAAAUGCGUAGAGAUCUGGAGGAAUACCGGUGGCGAAGGCGGCCCCUGGACAAAGACUGACGCUCAGGUGCGAAAGCGUGGGGAGCAAACAGGAUUAGAUACCCCUGUAGUC
rnacentral:rRNA from 1 species